UUAAUCGUUCGGUUAAAAAUAAAUCUGCUGCCCCAUUUUAAUUACCACAAUUAUUGUUCAAAAUUACAUUUUAUAUAGAAUAAGGGUAUUUCGGUAACUGUGCAAAUUAGUAAAAAUGGCAACCACCGAAUUUUACUCCCAUUUAUCUCAUUUCAUCUCCCCCCACCCCAUUUUACUCCCAAUAUACCCUACAAUCGGUAACUUCUCUCUUCCCCUGCCUGUUCUUGGUUCCGGCGGCUGUCCAUAGCAGAGCGCGCGUCGCUGCGAUCGGCGAUGAUACUCUGCGCGGCGGGUUUCCAAGUUUUUCGACAAGAAUUAGUUUCCAUUUACAGAUUUUCGACCAUCUAUUCUAUUUUCAAUUGUUCAUUGAAUCAUUUUUUUUCCGAUUAUUUCGUAGUUCUUGGUCGACGAUUUGGAAUAGAGGUUUUCUGCUUGAAGAUACAGCGUGGCUGAAAUCAAACAGGUAAGUCGUUUUGUUUUUUAUUUUUGUUCGAAUUUUUUGUUGACUUUUAGGGGUUUUAAAUCGAACAAGAUUUAAGAUUUUCGAUAAUUAAUGGUUUCCAAAAUCAAAAUCAAAAUUUUUAAUUGGGUUUUAAAUGUAUCAAACGAAAUCAAAAAGUGAUAGUGUUUAUGUGAUUCUAUAUUCGGGUUUUCAAUUAUUUUAGAUUAAUAGUUUUCAACUAUCUGGAUUUUCAAUUUUUGUUGCAGUUUGUUUGAUUAGGGUUUAUGUAAUAGGAUUUUCGGAUGGCUUCUGGAAAGGGGAAAUAGAAAGCUCGGAUGGUAUGAGUGUGUGUUCGAAAUAUUUUGAUUUUUGUUCGUAAUUUUAAGAUUCAAAGUUCAAUGUUUCUAAUAUAUGUUUCAAGCAGUGGAUAUUCGGAUUGUUUUGGUCCAGUUUUGUGAUUCUAUAUUUGGGGACUGAUUUUUCUAUAACAAUUUAUCUCACUUUAUCUCCAUUAAAUUCUCCAACAUGUAAAUUGCGGCAUUUUCUACUGAUUUCAUGGUUGUUGGGGCACCUUCUUUUUGCCCCUUAAUUUUAAUUAUUACGAAAGAUCGUGGUUUGCUGAGAAAUCACUCUUUGUAUUGAUAAUUGUGUUGUAGAUUCAAGAAAUGGAUGGUGCUAUAAGAUGAAUGCAAUUUCUAUGAACCAUUUCGAUUUUCCAGUAUUUUUUUAAUAGAAUAUAUGUGCUGAUUUUGUCAUCCAUCACCCCUAUGUUGCAGAGCUUAUCAGGUUCAGCCAGUUCAGACAGCAUAUAACUCCACAUCCUCUGAUAAUGAUUAUCAGAUUAAGGGCUUUGAUUUUUACUAGUUUGUCGAUGCAUAGUGUGAUACAAAGAGACUAUGUGGGUGAUGAUUAUGAAUGUUGAAGAGACUGAAUUCGAAUUGAUCAUUAGGUUUUUUGAAACAAGAGUGUUUUGUUUGAUUGAUGAACUAUUUCUCUAAUGUCAUUGUAAUAUGUAGCAGUUAUGUUGCCUGGGUGAGAGGUUUGCGAAGAGUUAAUGUUGGUUUGAUUUUUCAUUUGAGUUUCUAUUCAUCAAAGAGUUCUAUUAUGUUCAUUUAGAAUUUUGUUCUGUUCAUUGUAAAAUAUAAAUAUUUGAGGUUUGCGAAGAGUUUAUGUUGGUUUAUUUUUUUCUUACUAACAUAAAGCAUUUUGAAAUGUAAAAUAUUCAACAUAAAAAUUUUCGAACAAGCUUAAAACAAUUAUGAACAUCUGAAUAAAAUUUUGAUUUUUUCUUACUAACAUAAAAUAUUUGACAUAAAGCAUUUCGAACAAGCGUAAAAAAUUUACGAACACCUAAAUAAAAUAUUUGAAUAUUUCUUACUAACAUAAAAUAUUGGACGUAAUAUUUGACAUAAAGAAAUUUCGAACAAGCGUAAAAAAAUUACGAACACCUACAUAAAAUAUUUGAAUUUUUCUUACUAACAUAAAUAUUUGACAGAAGCAUUUCGAACAAGUGUAAAAAAAAAAUUACGAACACCUAAACAAAAUAUCCGAAUUUUUCUUACUGACAAUUCCUAACAAUAACAUAAGAAUUAUAUUCAUGAACAUCUGAAUAAAAUUUCGAUUUUUUCUUACUAACAUAAAAUAUUUGACAUAAAGCAUUUCGAAUAAGCGUAAAAAAUUUACGAACACCUAAAUAAAAUAUUUGAAUAUUUCUUACUAACAUAAAAUAUUGGACGUAAUAUUCGACAUAAAGAAAUUUCAAACAAACGUAAAAAAAUUACGAACACCUACAUAAAAUAUUUGAAUUUUUCUUAUUAACAUAAAUAUUUGACAUAAGCAUUUUGAACAAGACGUAAAAAAUUUACGAACACCUAAACUUAUUGAAUUACAUAUAUAGCCUUUCGGCUAUAAUUAAGGAAAAGAAACAGAAAAAAAAAAAUCGGCCAUUGGAUUGAUAAUUUUGGAGGCUCCAGAUUAAUUCUUCUUUCUCUACAUAUUUGUCAUUAUCUGUUUAACCUUUCUCUCUCUAUAUAUAUAUAAAUAGUUAACUAAUGAAAAUAGGUUGAUUACAUAUAUAGACAUACGUGCCUACCUUAUAUAUAUCGCAAAUUAUUGGGUGCGACCGUCGCACAGCUGUGCGACGGGUCGACCCGGCUCCAAACCUGCCCUCCUGACCCGGAACCCUGACCCGCGUGGGUUUGACCCAUACUCCUAAUUAUUACAUUUGUUUAUAAUAAUUGUUACCUUUAAUAAACAUAAUAUAUACAUUUGUUCAUAUAAAUGUAUAUUGAUAUGUAUAAUGUUUUAUAUUGAAUGAAGGUAAAUAUUUAUAUUAAUAUAAGUAUACAUUUGUGCGACCAAAUGUAUAUCUUAUACUUAUUAAAAGUAAAUACUCCUAUUAGGGUUUAGUNUGCGAUCGGCGAUGAUACUCUGCGCGGCGGGUUUCCAAGUUUUUCGACAAAAAUUAGUUUCCAUUUACAGAUUUUCGACCAUCUCUUCUAUUUUCGAUUGUUCAUUGAAUCAUUUUUUUUUCCGAUUAUUUCGUAGUUCUUGGUCGACAAUUUGGAAUAGAGGUUUUCUGCUUGAAGAUACAGCGUGGCUGAAAUCAAACAGGUAAGUCGUUUUGUUUUUUAUUUUUGUUCGAAUUUUUUGUUGACUUUUAGGGGUUUUAAAUCGAACAAGAUUUAAGAUUUUCGAUAAUUAAUGGUUUCCAAAAUCAAAAUCAAAAUUUUUAAUUGGGUUUUAAAUGUAUCAAACGAAAUCAAAAAGUGAUAGUGUUUAUGUGAUUCUAUAUUCGGGUUUUCAAUUAUUUUAGAUUAAUAGUUUUCAACUGUCUGGAUUUUCAAUUUUUGUUGCAGUUUGUUUGAUUAGGGUUUAUGUAAUAGGAUUUUCGGAUGGCUUCUGGAAAGGGGAAAUAGAAAGCUCGGAUGGUAUGAGUGUGUGUUCGAAAUAUUUUGAUUUUUGUUCGUAAUUUUAAGAUUCAAAGUUCAAUGUUUCUAAUAUAUGUUUCAAGCAGUGGAUAUUCGGAUUGUUUUGGUCCAGUUUUGUGAUUCUAUAUUUGGGGACUGAUUUUUCUAUAACAAUUUAUCUCACUUUAUCUCCAUUAAAUUCUCCAACAUGUAAAUUGCGGCAUUUUCUACUGAUUUCAUGGUUGUUGGGGCACCUUCUUUUUGCCCCCUUAAUUUUAAUUAUUACGAAAGAUCGUGGUUUGCUGAGAAAUCACUCUUUGUAUUGAUAAUUGUGUUGUAGAUUCAAGAAAUGGAUGGUGCUAUAAGAUGAAUGCAAUUUCUAUGAACCAUUUCGAAUUUUCAGUUUUUUUAAUAGAAUAUAUGUGCUGAUUUUGUCAUCCAUCACCCCUGUGCUGCAGAGCUUAUCAGGUUCAGCCAGUUCAGACAACAUAUAACUCCACAUCCUCUGAUAAUGAUUAUCAGAUUAAGGGCUUUGAUUUUUACUAGUUUGUCGAUGCAUAGUGUGAUACAAAGAGACUAUGUGGGUGAUGAUUAUGAAUGUUGAAGAGACUGAAUUCGAACUGAUCAUUAGGUUUUUUGAAACAAGAGUGUUUUGUUUGAUUGAUGAACUAUUUCUCUAAUGUCAUUGUAAUAUGUAGCAGUUAUGUUGCCUGGGUGAAAGGUUUGCGAAGAGUUAAUGUUGGUUUAAUUUUUCAUUUGAGUUUCUGUUCAUCAAAGAGUUGUAUUAUGUUCAUUUAGAAUUUUGUUAUGUUCAUUGUAAAAUAUAAAUAUUUGAGGUUUGCGAAGAGUUUAUGUUGGUUUA
rnacentral:lncRNA from 1 species